AUUGAACGCUGGCGGCAGGCCUAACACAUGCAAGUCGAACGAGUGGCGGACGGGUGAGUAAUGUAUGGGAAACUGCCUGAUGGAGGGGGAUAACUACUGGAAACGGUAGCUAAUACCGCAUACCUUCCGAUGUGCCCAACUGGGAUUAGCUUGGUGGGGGGGUAACUGCUCACCAAGGCGACGAUCCCUAGCUGGUCUGAGAGGAUGACCAGCCACACUGGAACUGAGACACGGUCCAGACUCCUACGGGAGGCAGCAGUGGGGAAGAUUGCACAAUGGGCGCAAGCCUGAUGCAGCCAUGCCGCGUGUAUGAAGAAGGCCUUCGGGUUGUAAAGUACUUUCAGCGGGGAGGCGUUACCCGCAGAAGAAGCACCGGCUAACUCCGUGCCAGCAGCCGCGGUAAUUC
rnacentral:rRNA from 1 species